CGUCUGCUAAUGCUUUUACUUUCUGUUUGCAGAGACUGGAAGAAAAAAAUCUAGUUUCUCCACAAUGGAGCAAGUUUUUGUUCCAAGCUUCAUUUCGCUACUUCAUUGAAGACAACAUAUAGUGCUGUAUGUUUUCCACAUUUCUUGUGCUAUAAACAAGAAAAAUAGAUUAUUUAUUUUUUCAUAUUUAACCAUCCUCAUACCUCAUAUUUAUCUGUUUCUAUAUCACUGUAACAUCUAUGUUAAAUGUCAUUAUUUUUAUUGUACAGAUAGGGCACUGACACAAAAUGCUUACCUACAUAAGCCAGUGGCAGAGUUGGAAAUAGAACUGUGGUGUUGUGAUUUUUUAAAAUUCCAAUCCAAUAUUCAUUAACAGAAAAUUCAGAAUCUUCAUCGACAAUGCACUUGGAUUUAAAACAUUAUUCUGCCCAGUUUUAAGAUACUGUAUUAUGUCUCCAGAUGGCUUUUGCUUAGAGCUAUACAGCUGGAGUACAAGUGUUCUGAAAUGUCCCAACUGAAUUUCAAAUGAAUAUCAAAAAUAGGCAAAGAUAUACAUGAUACAUGCAGAAUAUGUAUCUAGGGAAAUCACAGAAGAUCUAGUUUCCACUAGUUGGUUAUACAUAAAUUAUUUAGGCAAUCUUAGUAAGCCUGUUGAUUAGCUGGAGGCAAAGAUAUCUAUUUUAGGUGUACCUAGGGUCAGGAUUAACUCACAAAACGUGGAUGGCAUUGACAAUAAAACAGCUAGAAUCAUUUCAGCAACCUCAUUAAAAAAAUGAAGUAGUCUCCUUUUAUCCCUUUAAAAAAAAAUCUUUUAAGCUUUCCUUAACAAAGAAGAUGAGUUUUUUGAAAAUCAUGUGAUAAAUGUCUUAUAAAGCUAUACUAGAAACUAUUUAGGGUGACUGGAGAAGGAACAGGACUGAGAGCCAGGAGACUAUUUCUAUUUCUAGUUCUGCCAUAGACUGUGUGACUUUGAACCUCAGCGCCUGUUUUUUUGUGAAAUGGGGAUGAUAAUAUUUACUGUUCUCUCAGGGAUAUUGUAUAAGAUCAUUUUCAUCAAGGUUUAUGGAAUGCCUAAGAAGUUAGAUUAGAAGAAGUUUCAAAUUAUUAAUACAAUAACAGAAACCACAAUAUCAGCACUACCAUUAGAAAUAAUGUUUGUUAAUGUUAUUAAUAUUAAAUUAUAAGCUUGAUAGCAUGGUUCUGAAGAAAAGCCCAACCUGCUCAUAGCAGGAAUAUCAUUCUAACACACUUUUAGGAACAAGAAAGCCGCCGGCAUACUUUCAACAUGGGAGUGGAAAAGAAUUCAUGAAGUUCUCUGUCUGAGCAAUUGUAGGUGGUAGAAAUGAAUAUCUUUUCAAUAAUGCUUUGUGACACAGGAGCAGAAGCAGCUCUAAGAGCUGAGCAGUAUUUUUAAAAUAUGACUCAGGAGAGGAUUUCUUUUGCUAUCAGAAUUGGGGAAAAAAAAUGCAAAAAAACACCCAGGAAUCAAACAAUCUUUUAGAAAUCAGGAACCUCGAAAUAGAACAAGUAUUGUAGGUCAGGAUAAUUUGAGUUCACAUGUAACACCAUUGGCACAGAAGAAAUCUGUGCAUAAUAAACAGAGAAAACCAGACCUGACAUAUCGGAAGCCUUGAGCUCUGAGAGAUUAAUCAUAAGAAUUUUUGUUUUCUGAGUGACCAAAACUACCAUGGGUAAUUUGGGAGGUUAAAACCCCCUUCAACAACCUAUCAUUUUCAUGAAAUACCUAGAUAGAUUGUAUUGAACAGCAGAAAUAAGGAAGCAGAAACACAAAAGAUCAAUACAGCAGUUAUUCCACUAAAGCAAAAUGCAUUCAGAUUUGGUUAGAGUCACAUUAACAGAAAAUGAAGGCAGUCCUGCAGCUUCUCUUUUCUCCCUGGACAGCCCACAUUAGGAAGCUGAUGUGAAGACCUUAAGAAAGGUAGGGGAAGGUGACAGACACCGUUUAAUUGCACCUAUUAAUUGCACACUGAAAUAUUGCCUUUUUAAAAAUAAAACCCACACAGACCAUGGGUUACACAGAUUUCUGAUGGUUCAGCCUGGAAGAACGUAACUGGUAAACCAAAGAGAGCAUUUGGGUUUGAUCUCUGCUUUUUUUUUUUUUUUUCCUAUGUCACAGGAAAUGAAAAAUAUUCAACAAAAAGAAUUUUAAAGAUUUUGGAAAUUCUAUGUAAUAUAUCGCAUGACUAACAAAAGGGCUUGUUGGAUGGGAUAGCCGAAUUUUAUCAAUGUCUGCAAACUGAAGUGUGUUCCUUCAGUAUGUUGGUAGUAACUGAAAAUGAAAUAAUCUCCAUGACUAAGGUGCUACUCACCUACAUGGAGCACACAAGGAUGUCAUGCUUUCAGUCUUGAAAAGUCAUAGGGAGUGUGACUUCACUGUGAUUCAGCGAACAAACUAAAUGAUAGAUACGCAUUGCACAGGGGAACCGAUCAUGGCGCAGUACUGUAACACUGAGAAACACCCAAAAUAUACUGUUUACAUACCACCCUGAUUACAGCCUCUGAUAGUGUCAAGAGAUGCAAACCAGAAAGUUUUAAAAAUAAGUAGUUGAGAUGGUUCACUUCAACCUAAGACUCUUAUUAUACCAAACUUAAGUAAAUAUAAGGUGAAAGGACAAAAAAAAUGGCAUCUAUUAGCUAUAUUCUGGCUGUCAUUGCUGCCCACAGACUAAUAAGAACCUAUGAAAAGUUUAACUAUGUGCUUUUCUCAGCCAUCCUUAUUUCUUUCUUCCAUCCUAUCACAGGCAGGACCAUGCAAAGCACUGUGUAUGAGUAAUUUCCAUUCUCUUUUCCUUUGAGUGUACAAGACUGGUUCUGUCCCCAUAAAUAUCUACAAAGCAGGAAAGGAAUUUGAAUUUAUAGUGCCCCUAGAGACGGAUACAAUGGUACUAUUAAUCUACACUGAUUAUUGCCCUACCUUGUAGCUGGUAGUUUCUAGGACUUGUCAUUAGUCUGCUAAGCACCAGACUAACUCACUUAUACCUGAUUAGUAUAGGAACAAUGUGUAUUACAUGUUCAAGAGAGCACACAAUAAAAUCUGAAUGCCAGGGUAGCAUUUCUAAUACACUCAAGAAUCACAAAAAGAAAACCAUCCAAAAUAAUUAUCUGAAGUUUUAAUACUGUGAGAAACCAGGCUGUGUUGUGUGUUUGUGUGUGCAGCUUGGAGCUGGCACUGUUCUAACUGCCAGAGACUGACUGAUGGCUUCAAACCUGAAACAACCUCCUUGCUCUGAAAGUGGUGGCCCGCUAAAAUCUCCAGAUGGAGAAUGUAAAGCUAUCUCCACAUGGGAAAUACUAGUCUCCUGGAAGCUUUCGUCAGGAUUAGACAGCUUAGGCAGUGCUGAGGUGCCUUCCUUCUGAUUGGGGUCAAGAUAACCAUAUUCUUUAAGAGACAAGACAAGGAAACUUUGUGAAUCCCUAGAUACCAAAAGAUGGGAAGUACGACUGUCUUCAAUUCACAAUUUUAAGUUUAUAUGCUAUCAGUUUAUGCCCAAAUUUUCAGGUGCUGAUUCUGGCGCAGCAUCUGCAUGGGUAUUUGUAGUUUGUUCUGCACUAUGUUGUGUAGGCCAAGCACUGUGUCUGCAAAUAAUUUUCAAAUUUGCAGCUGACAAAUGAUCUUUAAGGAUUUGAAAGGUAUCACUUCUGCAGAAAUCCUCAGUGAUCAGCCAGCAUCAAUCUUGCACAUCUAUGGAAAGGCAAGGAAACCAUCAUAAAGGAAAUGCAGAUUUUUAUCGUGCUCUGGAAGAGAAAGCCCUGUAGAGCAGUCCUUGAUUCUGCCAUUCUUCUCCUGAUGUUCACUGAGCUGUAACAACACCCGGUGGCAGAAAAAACACAGGCAGAGAACUGUAUUUUCGGGUUCUUUCUACAUUUCAUGUAGGGUCUGUGUUCAAAAGAUGCAAAAGAAUGGGAAGGAUCAAGUCUUCUGUUCUCAGUGGAAGAGACAGAAACAAGGGAAGUGGCGUUGUCAAGCUGUAGCUGGACUACUGAAUCCUAGAGAAUGCCAAGAGUUCACUGGGACAUGGUAGAAUGCAAACUCUACUCUCCUAGCCACAUUUACUGCCUGUUAACAAGUUGAAAAGACACCAUAUCUACUUUUUUUUUACACACACUGCCAAGUUCUAAUUGCACAUGCCAUUGUUCUGGUACGCCUAAAUAAUUUUCCGUAAGCCUUUUUGGAGGCUUACAAAAUAUAAUGACAUACAAAAUAUAUAACAAAGGGAAAUAAUUAUGAAAUAUGACCACUUUUUUUCCCAAUACCAGUUUGUUUUGAAAAUCGUUACUGAUUCUUAAUUAUAUUGCUUUUUCUAUAACAUUUUCAAAUAAUACUUCAAAGUAGUAAGAAAACGAAGUGCAUGACUAUCAAGUGCUUUACAGGGGUUCUUGUAUACAAAGUCUAGUAAAAUAUGUUUGUGGGGAAAAAUAUUGGUGUGGUAAAUGUAUUUUUACAUAAUGUUACAUAUAAUGUCAGCUGUGUUAAUGUGGUAGAAGAUUGGAAUCUACCCAGAUGUACCCUACUGUCAGUCAGUGAAAUAUAUUAAUUGAAGUAGCUGGGCUUACUGUGUAUGUAUCAGUUGUGGAAAUUACAUGUCUCUUAAUGUUGCACAUUCACAUACUAUGGGGACUGACACUGAGUCUAUCAUUUGGAGGUGUCUGAUGACAGAGGUACGUCUGUACUUGUGUGUUGGAAAACUGAAAACUUAGGUGUGGCUUAGCUGGGCCUGUGACAGGCAGUCAUCGGUUGUUCUGUUGGCACUGUGUUGUUUUUUUUCUAGGACAUUGUUUUGUGAGAAUAUGAAUUUCAGAUGCAUGUGUACCUUCUGACUUCAGUUAUGUUUUUGGGAUGAUGGAAUCAUGUAUUCAUAUUCACAGUAUCAAGAAAAAUAUCAAAACAGCAACAAAAAUAUACAGUAAACUGUAUAUAAA